rnacentral:rRNA from 1 species
UGGGGAAUAUUGCACAAUGGGCGCAAGCCUGAUGCAGCCAUGCCGCGUGUAUGAAGAAGGCCUUCGGGUUGUAAAGUACUUUCAGCGGGGAGGAAGGUGUUGAGGUUAAUAACCUCAGCAAUUGACGUUACCCGCAGAAGAAGCACCGGCUAACUCCGUGCCAGCAGCCGCGGUAAUACGGAGGGUGCAAGCGUUAAUCGGAAUUACUGGGCGUAAAGCGCACGCAGGCGGUCUGUCAAGUCGGAUGUGAAAUCCCCGGGCUCAACCUGGGAACUGCAUUCGAAACGGGCAGGCUAGAGUCUUGUAGAGGGGGGUAGAAUUCCAGGUGUAGCGGUGAAAUGCGUAGAGAUCUGGAGGAAUACCGGUGGCGAAGGCGGCCCCCUGGACAAAGACUGACGCUCAGGUGCGAAAGCGUGGGGAGCAAACA